rnacentral:rRNA from 1 species
UACGUAGGGUGCGAGCGUUAAUCGGAAUUACUGGGCGUAAAGCGCGCGUAGGCGGCUAGAUAAGUCGGAUGUGAAAGCCCCGGGCUCAACCUGGGAACUGCAUACGAUACUGUUUGGCUAGAGUAUGAGAGAGGGAGGUAGAAUUCCACGUGUAGCGGUGAAAUGCGUAGAUAUGUGGAGGAAUACCGGUGGCGAAGGCGGCCUCCUGGCUUAAUACUGACGCUCAUGCACGAAAGCGUGGGUAGCGAACAGG